CAGCAGCCGCGGGAAUACGAAGGGGGCUAGCGUUGUUCGGAUUUACUGGGCGUAAAGGGCGCGUAGGCGGACUGAUAAGUCAGGGGUGAAAUCCCAAGGCUCAACCUUGGAACUGCCUUUGAUACUGUUUGUCUUGAGUUCGAGAGAGGUAAGUGGAACUGCGAGUGUAGAGGUGAAAUUCGUAGAUAUUCGCAAGAACACCAGUGGCGAAGGCGGCUUACUGGCUCGAAACUGACGCCGAGGCGCGAAAGCGUGGGGAGCAAACAGGAUUAGAUACCCCAGUAGUCCCUGUCUCUUAUAC
rnacentral:rRNA from 1 species